rnacentral:lncRNA from 1 species
GGGAAUAUACUACAACAGUCACACCACCCGAGCGCCAGCAGCAACAAACAAAACAAAGAAGCAAUCUUAGUCUACCAUGACUUACCUGUAAUUAGGUGAAGUUGGACUGUAAGGACUGGAAGGAGACAACCUUGGACUACUUGGUGAGUAUGCCAGAGACGGACUGUACUUGGCUGACUGCGGGUUGUAACUUGGAGAGGUAGGGCUAUAGCUUGGUGAUGUGGGACUGUAACUUGGUGAGGUUGGACUGUACCCAGGAGAUGUGGGGCUAUAAGCAGGUGAAGUAGGGCUAUAUGAAGGAGAUGUGGGGCUAUAGGACGGUGAAGUAGGGCUGUACGAAGGAGAUGUCGGGCUGUACGAUGGAGAUGUAGGGCUGUAUGAUGGAGAAGUGGGGCUGUAUGCAGGUGAAGUGGGGCUAUAUGCUGGUGAGGUAGGGCUAUAUACGGGUGAAGUGGGGCUGUAGCUGGGUGAAGUGGGACUAUAGCUGGGGGAUGUGGGACUGUAACUUGGAGAAGUAGGACUGUAACUUGGAGAUGUAGGGCUGUAACUUGGAGAGGUAGGGCUAUAGCUUGGUGAGGUUGGAGAAUAUGAGGGGCUGGUAGGAGAGUAGGCUGGACUUGUCGGACUGUAUCCUGGUGAGCUAGGACUGUAAGUAGGUGAUGUGGGGCUGUAACCAGGAGAGGUGGGACUGUACCCAGGAGAUGUAGGACUGUAACCAGGAGAGGUAGGACUGUAACCAGGUGAUGACGGACUGUAUCCAGGAGAUGAUGGGCUGUAACCAGGGGAUGACGUAGGAGAGAAUGCCAUUCCACCAACAUAAGGUGAGAACUGUGCAUCUGAAAUGGGUGAGAGACGAAGAUUUGGGCUCAGCAAGUAACUUGGAGACAUCAUGCCUUCAUGAUAAGGAGUUCCUG